UCACGUCUUACGACGGCAGUUUCACUAGAGUUCCCAGCGUUACCUGAUGGCAACUGGGAGCGGGGGUUGCGCUCGUUGCGGGACUUAACCCAACACCUCACGGCACGAGCUGACGACAGCCAUGCAGCACCUGAACCGGCAGUCCCCGAAGGGAAAAUCCUAUUUCUAGGACGGUCCGCCGUUGUCUAGCCCAGGUAAGGUUCUUCGCGUUGCGUCGAAUUGAACCACAUACUCCACCGCUUGUGCAGGCCCCCGUCAAUUUCUUUGAGUUUUAAUCUUGCGACCGUACUUCCCAGGCGGCACGUUUAUCGCGUUAGCUUCGCCACAAAAGGGGUCGAUUCCUUUUACAGCAAACGUGCACCGUUUACAGCCAGGACUAC
rnacentral:misc_RNA from 1 species